GGGUUGUCAUGCCAAUGGCACUGCCCGGUAGCUAAAUGCGGAAGAGAUAAGUGCUGAAAGCAUCUAAGCACGAAACUUGCCCCGAGAUGAGUUCUCCCUGACUCCUUGAGAGUCCUGAAGGAACGUUGAAGACGACGACGUUGAUAGGCCGGGUGUGUAAGCGCAGCGAUGCGUUGAGCUAACCGGUACUAAUGAACCGUGAGGCUUAACCUUACAACGCCGAAGGUGUUU
rnacentral:rRNA from 1 species